GGAAUAUUGGGCAAUGGAGGGAACUCUGACCCAGCGACGCCGCGUGCGGGAUGAAGGCCUUCGGGUUGUAAACCGCUUUCAGCAAGGAAGAAGCGAAAGUGACGGUACUUGCAGAAGAAGCACCGGCUAACUAUGUGCCAGCAGCCGCGGUAAUACAUAGGGUGCAAGCGUUGUCCGGAAUUAUUGGGCGUAAAGAGCUCGUAGGUGGUUCGUCACGUCGGAUGUGAAAAUCUGGGGCUUAACCCCAGACCUGCAUUCGAUACGGGCGAGCUAGAGUGUGGUAGGGGAGACUGGAAUUCCUGGUGUAGCGGUGGAAUGCGCAGAUAUCAGGAGGAACACCAAUGGCGAAGGCAGGUCUCUGGGCCAUUACUGACACUGAGGAGCGAAAGCGUGGGGAGCGAACAGGAUUAGAUACCCUGGUAGUCCACGCUGUAAACGGUGGGCACUAGUUGUGGGAACCUUCCACGGUUUCUGCGACGCAGCUAACGCAUUAAGUGCCCCGCCUGGGGAGUACGAUCGCAAGAUUAAAACUCAAAUGAAUUGACGG
rnacentral:rRNA from 1 species